rnacentral:rRNA from 1 species
GAUGAACGCUGGCGGCGUGCUUAACACAUGCAAGUCGAACGGAAAGGCCCAAGCUUGCUUGGGUACUCGAGUGGCGAACGGGUGAGUAACACGUGGGUGAUCUGCCCUGCACUUCGGGAUAAGCCUGGGAAACUGGGUCUAAUACUGGAUAGGACCACUUCUUGGAUGGUGUGGUGGAAAGUUUUUUCGGUGUGGGAUGAGCUCGCGGCCUAUCAGCUUGUUGGUGGGGUAAUGGCCUACCAAGGCGUCGGCGGGUAGCCGGCCUGAGAGGGUGUACGGCCACAUUGGGACUGAGAUACGGCCCAGACUCCUACGGGAGGCAGCAGUGGGGAAUAUUGCACAAUGGGCGCAAGCCUGAUGCAGAGACGCCGCGUGGGGGAUGACGGCCUUCGGGUUGUAAACUCCUUUCGCUAGGGACGAAGCGUUUUUGUGACGGUACCUGGAGAAGAAGCACCGGCUAACUACGUG